rnacentral:rRNA from 1 species
AGUGAACGCUGGCGGUAGGCCUAACACAUGCAAGUCGAACGGCAGCACAGUAAGAGCUUGCUCUUACGGGUGGCGAGUGGCGGACGGGUGAGGAAUACAUCGGCAUCUACUUUUUCGUGGGGGAUAACGUAGGGAAACUUACGCUAAUACCGCAUACGACCUACGGGUGAAAGCAGGAGAUCUUCGGACCUUGCGCGAUUGAAUGAGCCGAUGUCGGAUUAGCUAGUUGGCGGGGUAAAGGCCCACCAAGGCGACGAUCCGUAGCUGGUCUGAGAGGAUGAUCAGCCACACUGGAACUGAGACACGGUCCAGACUCCUACGGGAGGCAGCAGUGGGGAAUAUUGGACAAUGGGCGAAAGCCUGAUCCAGCCAUACCGCGUGGGUGAAGAAGGCCUUCGGGUUGUAAAGCCCUUUUGUUGGGAAAGAAAAGCAGCAGGUUAAUACCCCGCUGUUCUGACGGUACCCAAAGAAUAAGCACCGGCUAACUUCGUG